GGGGGUAUGGCGGAAUUGGUAGACGCUGNGGACUU
rnacentral:tRNA from 1 species